UGGGGAAUUUUGGACAAUGGGCGAAAGCCUGAUCCAGCAAUGCCGCGUGUGUGAAGAAGGCCUUCGGGUUGUAAAGCACUUUUGUCCGGAAAGAAAUCCUUGGCUCUAAUACAGUCGGGGGAUGACGGUACCGGAAGAAUAAGCACCGGCUAACUACGUGCCAGCAGCCGCGGUAAUACGUAGGGUGCAAGCGUUAAUCGGAAUUACUGGGCGUAAAGCGUGCGCAGGCGGUUUGCUAAGACCGAUGUGAAAUCCCCGGGCUCAACCUGGGAACUGCAUUGGUGACUGGCAGGCUAGAGUAUGGCAGAGGGGGGUAGAAUUCCACGUGUAGCAGUGAAAUGCGUAGAGAUGUGGAGGAAUACCGAUGGCGAAGGCAGCCCCCUGGGCCAAUACUGACGCUCAUGCACGAAAGCGUGGGGAGCAAACAGGAUUAGAUACCCUGGUAGUCCACGCCCUAAACGAUGUCAACUAGUUGUUGGGGAUUCAUUUCCUUAGUAACGUAGCUAACGCGUGAAGUUGGCCGCCUGGGGAGUACGGUCGCAAGAUUAAAACUCAAAGGAAUUGACGGGGUCAUAGCUGUUUCC
rnacentral:rRNA from 1 species